rnacentral:tRNA from 1 species
CAAGAAGUAGUUUAAGUAGAAUAUCAGCUUUGGGUGUUGAUGGUGGGGAGGUAGUUCCUUCUUCUGGA